rnacentral:rRNA from 1 species
GACGAACCACACAAACGUUAUUCGGAAUUACUGGGCUUAAAGGGUGCGUAGGCGGGCAGGUAAGUCCGUGGUGAAAUCUCUGAGCUUAACUCAGAAACUGCCAUGGAUACUAUUUGUCUUGAAUGUUGUGGAGGUAAGCGGAAUAUGUCAUGUAGCGGUGAAAUGCUUAGAUAUGACAUAGAACACCAAUUGCGAAGGCAGCUUACUACACAAAUAUUGACGCUGAGGCACGAAAGCGUGGGGAUCAAACAGG